rnacentral:rRNA from 1 species
UACGUAGGGUGCGAGCGUUGUCCGGAAUUAUUGGGCGUAAAGAGCUCGUAGGCGGUUUGUCGCGUCUGCUGUGAAAACGCAAGGCUCAACCUUGCGCCUGCAGUGGGUACGGGCAGACUAGAGUGUGGUAGGGGAGAUUGGAAUUCCUGGUGUAGCGGUGGAAUGCGCAGAUAUCAGGAGGAACACCGAUGGCGAAGGCAGAUCUCUGGGCCAUUACUGACGCUGAGGAGCGAAAGCGUGGGGAGCGAACAGG